rnacentral:rRNA from 1 species
CGACUACAUUAGAUACCCGGGUAGUCCAGGGUGUAAACGCUGCGGGCUUGGUGUUGGGGGUCCUUUGAGGGCGCCCAGUGCCGGAGAGAAGUUGUUAAGCCUGCUGCUUGGGGAGUACGUCCGCAAGGAUGAAACUUAAAGGAAUUGGCGGGGGAGCACCGCAACGGGAGGAGCGUGCGGUUCAAUUGGAUUCAACGCCGGACAACUCACCAGGAGCGACGGUUACAUGAAGGCCAGGCUGAUGACCUUGCCUGAUUUUCCG